CUUCCGGUUUCUGCGCCUGGCCCCUAAUGCUUCUCUUUAGGUGGCUGUAGUGGCCGUCGGUUUCUUUUUAGUGUGUGCGCCGUUCCCUGGUGUUUGCUGCAUCGCUGGGUGGAGAAUUUGGAAACCAUCCUAGCCUCGACUCUGCCACGAAAUGCCAGUAACUACAACGAAACUUAGUUUACUCGUCUGUAAAAUGGGGAUAAAAAUGCCUCCUCUGAGCAGACAUGGUGGCUAGGCGGCACGACCUGAGUCUGAUCCCCAGGAUCCGUAAGGUGAAAGGAAAGAAUGUUAUCACCCAGUUGCCAUCUGAUCUCCACGAGUAUGUCGUAGCAUGCACACAGAAGCGCACAUACAUAAAUUAAUUGGUGCCUUCUUUUUCUUAAUGCCUACCUACCUAGGGAAGGCGUUUUGGAAAUUAAAGACAUAAAUUACUUAUCAGAAUGCCUGACAUAAACAUGUGGCUUCUAAUAAAUAACAGAUGUCCAGUUACUAUU
rnacentral:lncRNA from 1 species